CAAAUGUAGCUCAUUGGUAGAGCAUUCGACUGCUAAUCGAAGUGUCGCAGGUUCGACUCCUGCCAUUUAACCA
rnacentral:tRNA from 1 species